CGAAAGCCUGACGGAGCAACGCCGCGUGUGGGAAGAAGGCUCUUGGGCUGUCAACCACUUUUCUCAGGGAAGAAGUUCUGACGGUACCUGAGGAAUCAGCCUCGGCUAACUCCGUGCCAGCAGCCGCGGUAAUACGGAGGAGGCAAGCGUUAUCCGGAAUCAUUGGGCGUAAAGCGUUCGUAGGCGGCUGUUCAAGUCUGCUGUCAAAGACCGAGGCUCAACCUCGGGUCGGCAGUGGAAACUGGAUAGCUAGAGGUCGGUAGGGGCAAAGGGAAUUCCCAGUGUAGCGGUGAAGUGCGUAGAUAUUGGGAAGAACACCGGUGGCGAAAGCGUUCUGCUGGGCCGCGCCUGACCCUGAGGGACGAAAGCCAGGGGAGCG
rnacentral:rRNA from 1 species